rnacentral:rRNA from 1 species
AACGAACGCUGGCGGCAUGCCUAACACAUGCAAGUCGAACGAGACCUUCGGGUCUAGUGGCGCACGGGUGCGUAACGCGUGGGAAUCUGCCCUUGGGUUCGGAAUAACAGUAGGAAACGACUGCUAAUACCGGAUGAUGACGUAAGUCCAAAGAUUUAUCGCCCAGGGAUGAGCCCGCGUAGGAUUAGCUAGUUGGUGGGGUAAAGGCCUACCAAGGCGACGAUCCUUAGCUGGUCUGAGAGGAUGAUCAGCCACACUGGGACUGAGACACGGCCCAGACUCCUACGGGAGGCAGCAGUGGGGAAUAUUGGACAAUGGGCGAAAGCCUGAUCCAGCAAUGCCGCGUGAGUGAUGAAGGCCUUAGGGUUGUAAAGCUCUUUUACCCGGGAUGAUAAUGACAGUACCGGGAGAAUAAGCCCCGGCUAACUCCGUG